CUGCUCUAGGGAGCUUCCUGGUGUUCCAAAUGCUGGGCAGGGCCUCCCUGCCAAUGGUGAGCAGAGGCCCUCCAUGCUGGGGGGGUGCAGGACCCUGGAGCAUCCCCCCGGGCCACAGACCUGGGUGUUGGAGCUCCACCCAGUCCCCAAGCACGUCCACGGGAAGUCUGGGCACCCCCUGCACCAACCCCUGCGCCAGAGACCGUGGGCCCAGCAGCAGCUGGUAGUCUUGUGCAGUGCCAGGGAAUCCACCCACCAGGAGCUUCCCUUUAUCUUGGAUUCUGUGUGUAGCCUCCCUGCUAAUCGCGAGCAGAGGCUUUCCCUGCUGGGGAGGUGCGGGACCCCGGAGCCUUCCCCCGCUCCACAGAGCCAGGCGCUGGAGCUCCAACCAUGUCCCCAAGCACGUCUACGGGAAGUCCAGGCGCCCCCUGCUCUGACCCAUGCACCGGAGACCAUGAUCUCAGCCACAGCUUGUGGUCUGGUGCCGUGCCGGGCCCGCCAGGAGCUUCUCUUUGUUCUGGAUUCUGGGCGGGGCCUCCCUACUAAUGGCAAGCAGAGGCCUUCCCUGCCAGUGGGUGUAGGACUCUGGGGAUUCCCCCUGGGUCUAGGUGUAAUCGCGGGGGGCUUGGGUAGAGCUGUUGUCACCUGUUUCCACCGUUGCUCCGCUGGUGAGUGCACACUCCCGCCCUUGGUGUGUGGCGAUGCUAUGGGGGAGACCGCUGGAAGAGAGCCUCCUGCAGGAACUAGGCUGUUCGGGGGUCAGGGGUCAGAGAGUUUUCACCUAUUUCCACCUCCUCCCUGGGGGAAGUCCGUCUGCCUUCCGAUGUGUAGUAGCACGAGACCCUUAGGCGUCUUGAGAUGGUAUCUGGAUAUCCUUUGUUAAUCAGUGAAUGUCCAAUUAGUUGUGGAUCCAACAGGGGAGAGACAAAGAAGACCACGCACUCUGCCAUCUUGGUCCCGCCCCCUUACUUUCUAAUUUUUAUGCCUCUUAUUGCUGGCCUUUUUUAACUAACUAGGACUUUGGUACAAUGCUGAAUAAAAGCAGUGAAGCAUGUGGUAUUUAU
rnacentral:lncRNA from 1 species